UAUCUUAUGUACUUCCGGAUAUUUGUAAAUAAACAUUGUCAACUGUAUUUUGAAGGAAGCAUUUCGCAAGUAGCUACAUAACAUCAUAAAAUGCAGGGCGGGCCACCCUUGCCUCCAGGAUGGGAGGCUCGAUGGGAUGCUAACCAGGGCGCUUAUUUUUUCAUUGACCACAACACUAAACAGACUACAUGGAUUGAUCCAAGAAUUAAAUUGCAAGCUAAUCAGCCCCAGCAACCUCAAUAUGGUGGACAGCAUGCUGCCGCAGCCCAGGUAUAAUUCAAUCAAUCAAUGAUUGAUUGG